AUUUUCUGCUGGGAGAGCAGCACAGCUGGCUGUGAGCAAUCUGGGAGACUCCUGGAGAGUGUCAACGACAACGUCCUGGUCCAGUGAAAUUUCACAGAUUAUGAAGAAAAGAAAACACACCCAGACUUUCCAUUCAUGUGAACACUGAAAGGACAAGAAGCAACACAAACAAAUUUCAGCAAGGAAAAUUCCAAUCAGAUAUAAAGAAAAAAAUUCUUCACCAUGGGACUGAACCAGCACUGUUACAUACAGCCCAGAGGAGUUCUGAAACCUCAGCCUUUGGAGAUACUCAG
rnacentral:lncRNA from 1 species